CCGUUCGAAUAGGGCGGUACCUGGACGGUACCUAACCAGAAAGCCACGGCUAACUACGUGCCAGCAGCCGCGGUAAUACGUAGGUGGCAAGCGUUGUCCGGAAUUAUUGGGCGUAAAGCGCGCGCAGGCGGUUUCUUAAGUCUGAUGUGAAAGCCCCCGGCUCAACCGGGGAGGGUCAUUGGAAACUGGGGAACUUGAGUGCAGAAGAGGAGAGUGGAAUUCCACGUGUAGCGGUGAAAUGCGUAGAGAUGUGGAGGAACACCAGAUCGGCGAAGGCGACUCUCUGGUCUGUAACUGACGCUGAGGCGCGAAAGCGUGGGGAGCGAACAGGAUCUAUGAUACCCUGGUAGUCCACGCCGUAAACGAUGAGUGCUAAGUGUUAGAGGGUUUCCGCCCUUUAGUGCUGCAGCAAACGCAUUAAGCACUCCGCCUGGRGAUGUACGGUCGCAAGACUGAAACUCAAAGGAAUUGACGGGGGCCCGCACAAGCGGUGGAGCAUGUGGUUUAAUUCGAAGCAACGCGAAGAACCUUACCAGGUCUUGACAUCCUCUGACAACCCUAGAGAUAGGGCUUCCCCUUCGGGGGCAGAGUGACAGGUGGUGCAUGGUUGUCGUCAGCUCGUGUCGUGAGAUGUUGGGUUAAGUCCCGCAACGAGCGCAACCCUUGAUCUUAGUUGCCAGCAUUCAGUUGGGCACUCUAAGGUGACUGCCGGUGACAAACCGGAGGAAGGUGGGGAUGACGUCAAAUCAUCAUGCCCCUUAUGACCUGGGCUACACACGUGCUACAAUGGGCAGAACAAAGGGCAGCGAAGCCGCGAGGCUAAGCCAAUCCCACAAAUCUGUUCUCAGUUCGGAUCGCAGUCUGCAACUCGACUGCGUGAAGCUGGAAUCUCUAGGUAAUC
rnacentral:rRNA from 1 species